rnacentral:rRNA from 1 species
CACGUACUGUGCGAACGUUAUUCGGAAUCACUGGGCUUAAAGGGUGCGUAGGCGGCGAUUCAAGUCAGAUGUGAAAUGCCUGAGCUCAACUGAGGCAUUGCGUUUGAAACUGAUUUGCUAGAGUAUUUCAGGGGUGUGCGGAACUGCCAGUGGAGCGGUGAAAUGUGUUGAUAUUGGCAGGAACACCGGAGGCGAAAGCGGCACACUGGGGAAUAACUGACGCUGAGGCACGAAAGCCAGGGGAGCGAACGGGAUUAGAAACCCUUGUAGU